CAUGGAAUUAUGAAAACAUGGGAGCCAACACAAGAGACAGGGAAAGGGAAUCCCCAAGAUGAGUUUAAAAGGGGAGAUUCCAGAACAUCAGCCGAGUGACAGUUCUAGAAAUCAACAAGUUUCAAGGUGGAGCACAAAGAUAAAGAACCCCAGAAGGGACAGAUCCAAGGGAAGAAGAGGACAUUGAAUAAUGUGGUGAAAGUAGUGGUGUGCUUGCUCCAAGCCUAGGUCUCAAGAGGCUUUCAUACUUCUUUCGUUCUUGGGUCCCUGCUCCUACCAUGAGAACUAGCCAAAGUUAUCCUGCUUGGGGAUGAGAGAUCAUAUGCAAGAUAGCCUGUUGGCUCAACCAA
rnacentral:lncRNA from 1 species